rnacentral:rRNA from 1 species
AACCUGGUUGAUCCUGCCAGUAGUGUAUGCUUGUCUCAAAGAUUAAGCCAUGCAUGUAUCAGUAUAAGCAAUAAUACAGUGAAACUGCGAAUGGCUCAUUAAAUCAGUUAUAAUCUAUUUGAUCGUAUUUGCUAGAUGGAUAACCCUGGCAAUUCUAGAGCUAAUACACGAAAAAACACGGAUUUCCGUGGUGUUCAUUAGAUUCAAAAACCAAUGCUUCGGCUUUAUGGUGAUUCAUGAUGACCUCUCGAAGCGUGUGCCUUGUGCUACGCUGGUUCAUUCGAAUUUCUGCCCUAUCAACUUUCGAUGGUACGGUAGUGGCGUACCAUGGUUUCGACGGGUAACGGGGAAUUAGGGUUCGAUUCCGGAGAAGGAGCAUGAGACACGGCUCCUACAUCCAUGGAAGGCAGCAGGCGCGCAAAUUACCCAAUCCUGACACGGGGAGGUAGUGACAAGAAAUAACGGCACAGGGCCUUUGGUCUUGUGAUCGGAAUGAGAACAAUUAAUUUUACUUAUCGAGGAACAAUUGGAGGGCAAGUCUGGUGCCAGCAGCCGCGGUAAUUCCAGCUCCAAUAGCGUACAUUAAAGUUGUUGCAGUUAAAAAGCUCGUAGUUGAAUUUUGGGUUUUUCAGCGGGGUCCACCUAACGGUGCGUUACUCUUAUGGCAAGCCUUUUUCCUGGACGCCCUGCUGCGUUUAACCGCGUGGUUGGGAAGGUCAGGACAUUUACUGUGAGGAAAUUAGAGUGUUCAAAGCAGGCGUUAUGCUCGAAUAUAUUAGCAUGGAAUAAUAGAAUAAGACGUAUGGUUUUAUUUUGUUGGUUUCUAGAACCGUCGUAAUGAUUAACAGGAGCAGUCGGGGGCGCUAGUACUCAUCAGUCAGAGGUGAAAUUCUUAAACCUGAUGAAGACUAACUACUGCGAAAGCAUUCGCCAAGGAUGUUUUCAUUAAUCAAGAACGAAAGUUGGGGGAUCGAAAACGAUCAGAUACCGUUGUAGUCUCAACCGUAAACGAUGCCGACUCGGGAUCGGAGGAGUGAAAUAAUUAGCUUUUUCGGCACCGUGUGAGAAAUCAAAGUUUUUGGGCUCUGGGGGGAGUAUGGUCGCAAGGCUGAAACUUAAAGGAAUUGACGGAAGGGCACCACCAGGAGUGGAGCCUGCGGCUUAUUUGACUCAACACGGGGAAACUCACCAGGUCCAGACACAAUAAGGAUUGACAGAUUGAGAGCUCUUUCUUGAUUUUGUGGGUGGUGGUGCAUGGCCGUUCUUAGUUGGUGGAGUGAUUUGUCUGCUUAAUUGCGAUAACGAACGAGACCUUGACUCUUAAAUAGGGUGUAUAACAAUUUGUUGUAUGAUUCUUCUUAAGAGGACUAUCAGGAAAAACCUGAUGGAGGUUCGAGGCAAUAACAGGUCUGUGAUGCCCUUAGACGUUCUGGGCCGCACGCGCGCUACACUGAUACAGCCAGCGAGUCUAUACCCUUGUCCGAGAGGACUAGGUAAUCUUGUUAAACUGUAUCGUGCUGGGGAUAGAGCUUUGCAAUUUUUGCUCUUGAACGAGGAAUUCCUAGUAAGCGCAAGUCAUCAGCUUGCGUUGAUUACGUCCCUGCCCUUUGUACACACCGCCCGUCGUUACUACCGAUUGAAUGACUUAGUGAAGCCUUUGGACGUGCGAUUGAUGAGGGCGACCUCUGCCGUUGUACGAAAAUUGGAUGAACUUGGCCAUUUAGAGGAAGUACAAGUCGUAACAAGGUUUCCGUAGGUGAACCUUCGGAAGGAUCA